AGGCAGACAGGUAGACAUAGGCGUUGCACAGUAUUUACAGUUAUAAGGCAAUUAUUAUUCCAAUAGUGAUGAUUGCUAUUACACACCACGGGGAUCUUAAUGGUGGGCACGAGCCUGCGUGAAAAAAAUGGAUUUGGUCGUAAGAGCGUGAGAAAUGGGGUCAACUGCGUGUGCCCUGCCAUGUAGGAGUAUUUUCUCAAGGCCUGCGACUGAGGGUCAUAUUUCAAUUCAAAGGAUGAUACUGAAGAACAGAAAGCGAUUGAGAUGCCUCCAUCUUGGGUUUGGAAAUGCGUUACCCAGGAGUCAUGUAAGUUAUCUAGUACAGGAAAGUCAAGCACCUUAUCUUCUAAAAGAUGCUCUGGUGACCGGACUUACAGGGA